GUGUGAUCACACAGAACAGCAUGGUGCCUAGAUCCUGGUGUAUCAGAUGCGUGUAUGACAAGGAUUUAGACGAGUCAUCACAAAAGAAACAGGCUGCAAACGUUUUCUGCAGGGUGCUUAAGUAUAUCCUUUGGCCUUAACCUCGGUGGAAAUUGGUGAAUCUUAGUCCAGGUUUGCUGCAAAAUAAAAUAGGUGGUUUGAAGUAAAUGUCAGCUUAAUAGCUGUUUCAUCCACUUCUUAUCUUUCUGCAAAUUGUUGAGCAUCAUAUGCGUGACAAACCUAUCUGACUCUGAGACAGAGGUGGUAAUCAUAAACCCUUUGCAGCUCUUUUCACCUGUAUAUGGACUUUGUACCAAGUUUUUAAGAAGCAAAAGUACACACCUCAACAACAAUAUUUCUUCACCAAGGUAACCCUGCCUGGCAGUGUCAAUUUCCACUGACCAAUUAUAAAGGAAAAUAGGUAGUUCUACAGAAGGGGUGGAAGACAACUAUUCUGUUUCAAGGCAUUUCAAUAACAAUUUCUAAUGAUAGGAGUAAAAAAGGUGAUGAUGAUAAAGUGCAAUAAUACUUGAGCUAUGGAGAAUCUGGAAAGCAAUUACUCAACUUUCCAAAUUAAAUUAAUGCUUGAAUAUCCCAAGCUUUAGCGCAGUGUAAUUUUUUUUGUUGUUGAUUCAGUUUUUCAUCUCAAUUCCUCAUAUAGAUCUACAUCUUGGAUAUCUAGGUAUGAACUUUUCCUGUAAGUUUCAUUCUUUUAAGAUAGUAAAUUUACUUUUGACAGCUUUCAACUUUACAUGGAUUUCUUUUUUCAUCUUUACAUAUCUAUCUUCACAGAGUUAACAAAAGCAUUGCCGUGGCAGCUGUAUUCCAUCAAUUUUUGAGUGAAAAAGGCUGUGCUUAGAUGUAUGUGAUGUGCAAUCCUUUAACUUUUAAAAGAGGAUAUUCAAUUUAUAUGUCUAUCAAGAUUGUGCAUAUGUGUACUUUCAAUUUCCUGAAGAUAUUGAGUUAUAUUGUGUAUAAAUGGUUGCUUUGUAUUAUCCUUACCAUAGGAUAUUGAAAAAUGGUUUAUGUGUGCUUGUAAAUUUACGUGCAAAAUUGACUCCUCUUUAAAACUAUGUUCACUUAAAACAGGAAAACCACUUUAUCUGGUAUAUAUUUUGCUGCUUCUCUUUGUAAUAAACUCAUUCUUUGUGUUGUUUGCUUCACUUCAUCUAACUAAAUUUGAAAAUACAUGGGAUGUUGUUGCUUCAAUGUUGCAGAUUUAAUACAUGCUUUUUCGAAGUAUGAGCUUGCUUUCCUAAGGUCAGGCACUGGAUUACACCAUGAUAUGGAGUAUGAUUCUGCUUUUUCCAUUGCCCUCUGAGCAAUUUCUCAUCUGGCAAACCUUCAAAAACAUUGGGCACUGAUGUCAGAGAUGAAGAAUGAAAAAGUAUGUCAGUUCCACCAAAGAAUACAAAAUGUUGGUGCAUUCAUGUAUCAAAUACUGUUAAAGGUGGCUUUCCCCAAUCAAGUGAAAUAAAAAAGGUAUUUUUUUAUGGUUUUUAUCUGUCUCUGUGGCCCUCAUCAGUUAUAAAUCUUAUUUCAGAAUAAAAAUUAAUUGUGAGAAGCCUCAUUGCACUGGUAUUGCACCCAGCAUUUUUGCAAAUGAUUCUAUCAGUAGACAUUUCUGUAGUGUUCAGUUACCAUACUGAUACCUGUUCUGCAAAAGUUAUCCAGGCCUCAAAUAUUCUCUUCAGAAAAAGCAACAAUUUUGACUUGCAAAACAAAUUUAAUUACCAUUUUUUAUUUCAUUAAACUCAUUCCAUUUUGCUGAUGAGUUGAUAAUCAAAAACUAUGAUGAUGAUGACCUCAAAAACUCUUGAGGAGAAUUUUACAUUUUUUUUCU